CCUACGGGGGGCUGCAGUGGGGAAUAUUGCACAAUGGGCGCAAGCCUGAUGCAGCGACGCCGCGUGAGCGAUGAAGGCCUUCGGGUCGUAAAGCUCUGUCCUAAGGGAAGAAUAAUGACGGUACCUUAGGAGGAAGCCCCGGCUAACUACGUGCCAGCAGCCGCGGUAAUACGUAGGGAGCUAGCGUUGUUCGGAAUUACUGGGCGUAAAGCGCACGUAGGCGGUUACUCAAGUCAGAGGUGAAAGCCCGGGGCUCAACCCCGGAACUGCCUUUGAAACUAGGUAACUAGAAUCCUGGAGAGGUGAGUGGAAUUCCGAGUGUAGAGGUGAAAUUCGUAGAUAUUCGGAAGAACACCAGUGGCGAAGGCGGCUCACUGGACAGGUAUUGACGCUGAGGUGCGAAAGCGUGGGGAGCAAACAGGAUUAGAUACCCCUGUAGUC
rnacentral:rRNA from 1 species